UUGGAAGUGAUGAUUAUUUCCCCAGAUGAUCGAAGCUGAUUAUACUGAGCGCAUUUUAUUAAAUUCUCCUUAUCAGGGAGAAUCCAAGCCAGAAAUCUGAUCCAC